rnacentral:rRNA from 1 species
ACGCUCGACACCUACGGGGGGCAGCAGUAGGGAAUCUUCCACAAUGGACGCAAGUCUGAUGGAGCAACGCCGCGUGAGUGAAGAAGGUCUUCGGAUCGUAAAACUCUGUUGUUAGAGAAGAACACGAGUGAGAGUAACUGUUCAUUCGAUGACGGUAUCUAACCAGCAAGUCACGGCUAACUACGUCCCAGCAGCCGCGGUAAUCUGAGCGGGCUGCAAGGC